rnacentral:rRNA from 1 species
AGGACGAACGCUGGCGGCGUGCUUAACACAUGCAAGUCGAGCGGAAAGGCCCUUCGGGGUACUCGAGCGGCGAACGGGUGAGUAACACGUGAGUAAUCUGCCCCUAGCUCUGGGAUAGCUCCGGGAAACCGGGAUUAAUACCAGAUACGACCACUUUAGACAUCUUUUGUGGUGGAAAGAAUUUCGGCUAGGGAUGAACUCGCGGCCUAUCAGCUUGUUGGUGAGGUAACGGCUCACCAAGGCGACGACGGGUAGCCGGCCUGAGAGGGCGACCGGCCACACUGGGACUGAGACACGGCCCAGACUCCUACGGGAGGCAGCAGUGGGGAAUAUUGCGCAAUGGGCGAAAGCCUGACGCAGCGACGCCGCGUGGGGGAUGAAGGCCGUUCGGGUUGUAAACCCCUUUCAGCAGGGACGAAGCGAAAGUGACGGUACCUGCAGAAGAGCGCCGGCUAACUACGCGCCAGCAGCCGC